AUCCAGAUGACGAGUCCCAAAUAUGACGAAACGCGCGUGAAACUGGAU
rfam:Schistosoma rodhaini strain Burundi genome assembly, scaffold: SROB_scaffold0003158